AUUGAACGCUGGCGGCAGGCCUAACACAUGCAAGUCGAGCGGGGUUUUCGGACCUAGCGGCGGACGGGUGAGUAAUGCGUAGGAAGCUACCCGAUAGAGGGGGAUACCAGUUGGAAACGACUGUUAAUACCGCAUAAUGUCUACGGACCAAAGUGUGGGACCUUCGGGCCACAUGCUAUCGGAUGCGCCUACGUGGGAUUAGCCAGUUGGUGGGGUAAGGGCUCACCAAGGCGACGAUCCCUAGCUGGUUUGAGAGGAUGAUCAGCCACACUGGAACUGAGACACGGUCCAGACUCCUACGGGAGGCAGCAGUGGGGAAUAUUGGACAAUGGGCGCAAGCCUGAUCCAGCCAUGCCGCGUGUGUGAAGAAGGCCUUCGGGUUGUAAAGCACUUUCAGUAGGGAGGAAGGGUGUUGUGUUAAUAGCACAGCAUUUUGACGUUACCUACAGAAGAAGCACCGGCUAACUCUGUGCCAGCAGCCGCCGUAACAC
rnacentral:rRNA from 1 species